rnacentral:rRNA from 1 species
UUUAUCGGAGAGUUUGAUCCUGGCUCAGGACGAACGCUGGCGGCGUGCCUAAUACAUGCAAGUCGAGCGGACAGAUGGGAGCUUGCUCCCUGAUGUUAGCGGCGGACGGGUGAGUAACACGUGGGUAACCUGCCUGUAAGACUGGGAUAACUCCGGGAAACCGGGGCUAAUACCGGAUGGUUGUUUGAACCGCAUGGUUCAAACAUAAAAGGUGGCUUCGGCUACCACUUACAGAUGGACCCGCGGCGCAUUAGCUAGUUGGUGAGGUAAUGGCUCACCAAGGCAACGAUGCGUAGCCGACCUGAGAGGGUGAUCGGCCACACUGGGACUGAGACACGGCCCAGACUCCUACGGGAGGCAGCAGUAGGGAAUCUUCCGCAAUGGACGAAAGUCUGACGGAGCAACGCCGCGUGAGUGAUGAAGGUUUUCGGAUCGUAAAGCUCUGUUGUCAGGGAAGAACAAGUACCGUUCGAAUAGGGCGGUACCUUGACGGUACCUAACCAGAAAGCCACGGCUAACUACGUGCCAGCAGCCGCGGUAAUACGUAGGUGGCAAGCGUUGUCCGG